CCUGCCCUGUGACUAUAAUGUUUAACGGCCGCGGUAUUCUGACCGUGCGAAGGUAGCGCAAUCACUUGUCUUUUAAAUAGGGACCUGUAUGAAUGGCAUAACGAGGGCUUAACUGUCUCCUUUUUCAAGUCAAUGAAAUUGAUCUCCCCGUGCAGAAGCGGGGAUAAACACAUAAGACGAGAAGACCCUGUGGAGCUUUAGACACAAAGGCAGCUCACGUUAAGCACACCUAGAUACAGGGUCAAACUAAAUGAAGCCUGCCCGCAUGUUUUCGGUUGGGGCGACCAUGGGGUAAAACAAACCCCCCACGCGGAAGGGGAGUACUUUCCUCCUAAAACCCAGAGCCUCCGCUCUAAUAAACAGAACUUCUGACCUAAAGAUCCGGCAAAGCCGAUCAACGGACCAAGUUACCCCAGGGAUAACAGCGCAAUCCCCUUUUAGAGCCCAUAUCGACAAGGGGGUUUACGACCUCGAUGUUGGAUCAGGACAUCCUAAUGGUGCAGCCGCUAUUAAGGGUUCGUUUGUUCAACGAUUAAAGUCCUACGUGAUCU
rnacentral:rRNA from 1 species